rnacentral:rRNA from 1 species
UACAGAGGGUGCGAGCGUUGUCCGGAAUCACUGGGCGUAAAGGGCGCGUAGGCGGCUUGAUAAGGUUGCGGUGAAAGCCCGGGGCUCAACCCCGGGUCGGCCGUGGCAACUGUCGAGCUGGAGCACUGUAGAGGCAGGUGGAAUUCCGGGUGUAGCGGUGGAAUGCGCAGAUAUCAGGAGGAACACCGAUGGCGAAGGCAGGUCUCUGGGCCGCAACUGACGCUGAGGAGCGAAAGCAUGGGGAGCGAACAGG